AUACUACCUGGCAGGGGAGACACCAUGAUCAGGAAGGUGGUUUUCCCUCGGUGAGGCUCAUCCAUUGCACUCCGGAUAUGCUGACCCCUGGCGAUUUCCCCAAAUGUGGGAAUCUCGAAUGUGUAAUUUGUGGUAGCGGGGGACUGCGUUUGUGCUUUAUUUUU
rnacentral:snRNA from 1 species